rnacentral:misc_RNA from 1 species
GAAAUGCGAUAAGUAAUGUGAAUUGCAGAAUUCAGUGAAUCAUCGAAUCUUUGAACGCACCUUGCGCUCCUUGGUAUUCCGAGGAGCAUGCCUGUUUGAGUGUCAUGGAAUUCUCAACUCUAUUUGCUUUUGUGAAUAGAGCUUGAAUUUGGAGGUUUAUUGCUGGUACUUGUGAUCGGCUCCUCUUGAAUGCAUUAGCUCGAACCUUUGCGGAUCAGCUAUCGGUGUGAUAAUUGUCUACGCCGUUGCAGUGAAGCAUAUCAAUGGGCUCGGCUUCCAAUCGUCCUUUACUGGACAAUGACUUUGACCUUUGACCUCAAAUCAGGUAGGAUUACCCGCUGAACUUAAGC